rnacentral:lncRNA from 1 species
CAAAACUCUAAUUCUAAUAGAAUAUUAAUAAUGCUCUAAUUAGACUAUAAUAAUUUUAAGCAAGCUUAAUCAGGUUCAAAAAAAACUUCAAAGAAAUUUCUAACAAAUAAUAAGAAUUCUUAAAGAAAUAUUAAAAGAAUCACAAUUAUCACUCAAAUACAUCUCAACUCAAUCUUAAUUUAAUUCUAGUUAAAAUCCUAUUGAACUUCAUUCAAACUUCAGGCCAAAUCUAAUUAAAUCUUAAAUCCUAAUAAAAUCCUAAAUCCUAAAUCAAAUCCUAAACAAAUCUUAAAUCAAAUCCCAACCAAAUCCUAAAUCAAAUCCUAAAUCAAAUCCUAACCAAACCCUAAUAUAAACCCUAAAUCCUAAACCAAAUCCUAAACCCUAAAUAAAAUCCUAA